CCUACGGGGGGCAGCAGUGGGGAAUAUUGCGCAAUGGGCGAAAGCCUGACGCAGCGACGCCGCGUGAGGGAUGAAGGUCUUCGGAUCGUAAACCUCUGUCAGUAGGGAAGAACGGUCACUGUGCUAAUCAGCAGUGAAUUGACGGUAUCUGCAAAGGAAGUACCGGCUAACUCCGUGCCAGCAGCCGCGGUAAUACGGAGGGGGCGAGCGUUAAUCGGAGUUAUUGGGCGUAAAGCGAUCGUAGGCGGUGCGUCAAGUCAGGGGUGAAAGCCCCGGGCUCAACGGGGGAAUUGCAUUUGAAACUGGCGAACUGGAGUGUAUUAGAGGAUAGUGGAAUUCCAGGUGUAGCGGUGAAAUGCGUAGAUAUCUGGAAGAACAUCAGUGGCGAAGGCGACUAUCUGGCACAUAACUGACGCUGAGGCGCGAAAGCGUGGGUAGCAAACAGGAUUAGAUACCCUUGUAGUC
rnacentral:rRNA from 1 species